rnacentral:rRNA from 1 species
CAGUAGCCGCGGUAAUACGUAGGUGGCAUGCGUUGUCCGGAAUUAUUGGGCGUAAAGGGCUCGUAGGCGGUUUCUUAAGUCUGAUGUGAAAGCCCCCGGCUCAACCGGGGAGGGUCAUUGGAAACUGGGAAACUUGAGUGCAGAAGAGGAGAGUGGAAUUCCACGUGUAGCGGUGAAAUGCGUAGAGAUGUGGAGGAACACCAGUGGCGAAGGCGACUCUCUGGUCUGUAACUGACGCUGAGGAGCGAAAGCGUGGGGAGCGAACAGGAUUAGAUACCCGCGUAGUCCCUGUCUCUUAUAC